rnacentral:rRNA from 1 species
AUUGAACGCUGGCGGCAGGCCUAACACAUGCAAGUCGAACGAGUGGCGGACGGGUGAGUAAUGUAUGGGAAACUGCCUGGUGGAGGGGGAUAACUACUGGAAACGGUCGCUAAUACCGCAUACCAUCGGAUGUGCCCAGAUGGGAUUAGCUAGUAGGUGGGGUAAAGGCUCACCUAGGCGACGAUCCCUAGCUGGUCUGAGAGGAUGACCAGCCACACGUGAACUGGGACACGGGCCAGACUACUACGGGAGGCAGCAGGGGGGCAUAUUGCACAAUGGCCGAAAGCCUGAUGCAGCCAUGCCGCGUGUAUGAAGAAGGCCUUCGGGUUGUAAAGUACUUUCAGCGGGGAGGCGUUACCCGCAGAAGAAGCACCGGCUAACUCCGUGCCAGCAGCCGCGGUAAUAC